CUCUGACACUAGGUGCUGCAUGGCUGUCGUCAGCUCGUGUCGUGAGAUGGUUAGGGUUAACGUCCGUAACGAGCGCAACCCUUGUCCUUAGUUACCAGCACGUUAUGGUGGGCACUCUAAGGAGACUGCCGGUGACAAACCGGAGGAAGGUGGGGAUGACGUCAAGUCAUCAUGGCCCUUACGGCCUGGGCUACACACGUGCUACAAUGGUCGGUACAAAGGGUUGCCAAGCCGCGAGGUGGAGCUAAUCCCAUAAAACCGAUCGUAGUCCGGAUCGCAGUCUGCAACUCGACUGCGUGAAGUCGGAAUCGCUAGUAAUCGUGAAUCAGAAUGUCACGGUGAAUACGUUCCCGGGCCUU
rnacentral:rRNA from 1 species